AGUGAACGCUGGCGGUAGGCCUAACACAUGCAAGUCGAACGGCAGCACAGUAAGAGCUUGCUCUUACGGGUGGCGAGUGGCGGACGGGUGAGGAAUACAUCGGAAUCUACUUUUUCGUGGGGGAUAACGUAGGGAAACUUACGCUAAUACCGCAUACGACCUACGGGUGAAAGCAGGGGAUCUUCGGACCUUGCGCGAUUGAAUGAGCCGAUGUCGGAUUAGCUAGUUGGCGGGGUAAAGGCCCACCAAGGCGACGAUCCGUAGCUGGUCUGAGAGGAUGAUCAGUCACACUGGAACUGAGACACGGUCCAGACUCCUACGGGAGGCAGCAGUGGGGAAUAUUGGACAAUGGGCGCAAGCCUGAUCCAGCCAUACCGCGUGGGUGAAGAAGGCCUUCGGGUUGUAAAGCCCUUUUGUUGGGAAGAAAAGCAGCAGGUUAAUACCCCGCUGUUCUGACGGUACCCAAAGAAUAAGCACCGGCUAACUUCGUG
rnacentral:rRNA from 1 species